AUACUUAUCUGGUGCUGGGGUAACCGUGGCCAAGAUGGCGGUACCCCCAGGGAGAGGCGUGGGCAUUGCACUGCGCUCAUGCUGACCCCUGCCACUAUCCCAAACUGGGCAGAUGGGGCAUGCAAUUUUUGGUGGGGGACUGCGUUCGCGCUCUCCCCCU